AUACGUAGGGUGCGAGCGUUGUCCGGAAUUAUUGGGCGUAAAGAGCUCGUAGGCGGUCUGUCGCGUCGGUUGCGAAAGCCCGGGGCUUAACCCCGGGUCUGCAGUCGAUACGGGCAGGCUGGAGUUCGGCAGGGGAGACUGGAAUUCCUGGUGUAGCGGUGAAAUGCGCAGAUAUCAGGAGGAACACCGGUGGCGUAGGCGGGUCUCUGGGCCGAUACUGACGCUGAGGAGCGAAAGCGUGGGGAGCGAACA
rnacentral:rRNA from 1 species